rfam:Tlvibacter sp. LPB0005 TLVI_26, whole genome shotgun sequence.
AUUAUAACCGAGGUCGCGUACCUCAAAAAUUAAU